rnacentral:rRNA from 1 species
AUUGAACGCUGGCGGCAUGCUUUACACAUGCAAGUCGAACGGUAACAGGGAAAAGCUUGCUUUUCUGCUGACGAGUGGCGAACGGGUGAGUAAUACAUCGGAACGUGCCCUGUAGUGGGGGAUAACUACUCGAAAGAGUGGCUAAUACCGCAUACAACCUGAGGGUAAAAGUGGGGGACCGCAAGGCCUCACGCUAUAGGAGCGGCCGAUGGAAGAUUAGGUAGUUGGUAGGGUAAAGGCCUACCAAGCCGACGAUCUUUAGCGGGUCUGAGAGGACGAUCCGCCACACUGGGACUGAGACACGGCCCAGACUCCUACGGGAGGCAGCAGUGGGGAAUUUUGGACAAUGGGGGCAACCCUGAUCCAGCAAUGCCGCGUGAGUGAAGAAGGCCUCGGUUGU